GUUUGAGAACCGUUGAAGUAGCGAGCUAUGAGUUAAAUUGUUAUCUUCCGUCUUUAUUUGGGAAGGCGAAAACAUAUUGCGCACUAUCUGCUAACUACUUCCUUCUGUUUCCCCUCAGUCUGCGUGGGUAAGCAGAACUACUGCAUCAAGCAGGGCUUUUUAGCCUCGGCUGUGUGGCCCCUUAAGCUUGCUUCUUCCGCUCCUGCCUGUCUCGUAAAGAAUUCUUCCUUGGGAACAAAUAGUAUACAUGCUCUACAUGUUGGGUCUUUAGAUCAAAGUUAUAUAGGACGUCACUGUCUAUCAAUACCUGACAAGGUGAGGCUGAAUCCCCAGAAUCCCCAGAAUCCCCCAGUGACUCACAGUAGAGUCCAGCCUUACUACCAACAGCUACAGUAAUUUUAUCAUUUCAGUGUCAUGGAUGGUUCAAGGACAAAAAGAAGACAGAAAAGACGUUUCUAACUUCUGUAUCAGCUCAAAAGUCUCUGUUGGAAUCACACAUCAGCCAUUUGUGUGACUUGACAGAAUUUCAGUUAUGUAUUGUUAGCCCUAGGGUUAUGUAUAUAUAUUCCUGAUAUAUUGACUUUCACCACUUAUCCAGUAGCAGUUAUGUGAUUGAUAGUGAAGUGACAAGCUGAUCAGAGUUCAUUAACCACAAAAUGUCUGCCAUUAUCUUAAGCACAGCGGACCCAUUGAUUUUAUGUCCCCAUUGUGUUUUUUCCAGAGGACACCAUUUCUGGGUGAAGCAUCACAACCAUUUGUCACAGCUGGUUAUAUACAGAAUGAACAUGCUCACAUAUUGCAUGAUGAUGUAGUCAGUUUGGUUCAGACUUUUUACAUUCUACAUGUCAAAAUAGUCUACAAACAGAUAAUAUAAUUUAUCAUGGAAUUAUUUUAGACAGUGUUUGUGUCAAAACUGUUAAAAUAUAGACCUGAUAUGUAUGUUGAUGUGUUUUCCCCAUUUAGUUUUCAGUUUCAGUAAAACAUUACCCUUAAUGCAUAUUCAAAACACUUGGUGAGAAUUGACCCGAUACGCUAUUCAUUUGACUGAUGUGGAAAAGUGAUGCCCCUGAUGAUUAUGUAACCAAAAGCCUUCCAGACCAUUUGCUUCUCAACACUGGUCUUUAAAAUAUGUUCAUUAUAAAUAAUUUCUCCUGGAAGAAUUGAAGGGCCCCAGUGUAGAAUCUUAACGAAAGACCGAAGAAAUACUAUUUUAGCAUAUCACAGUUUAUUUAUUAAAACCUUUCACAAAGUUUUGCAAAUUCAGUGUAAAUAAGCUAAAGCUUUGGUGAAAGUGGUGUGAUCAGAGAUUUGAAGCAUUAAGUAUGGAGUGAAAAUUAAUUAAAUUAAUUAAUUAUUUAUUUUCCUUAGUAGGCAUACUUGUUUAACAUUACCCUGUCAGAUCCUCAUGAUUUGACUUCAUAAAGGCGAAAUGUUACUGCAUAUGUGAUCAGAGAAUAUGAGCAUAAAUAUUAGAUGAAUAUAAAAGGUAACAUGUUUUAAAUAUAUGCAGUCAACUUUAAAGUGUUUCAUAAUAGCUUUAUUAUGUACUACUGAGGAUUAUAUUUAUAUGAUUAGCACACUUGCUGUCUGAGUGCUAGUUUUCUUGGGUUUCAUGGGAUAGACUAUGCUGGUCCCUUCUGACCUUGAGAACAGUGCUUUGAAUGAAUUUGUACUGAAUAUAAUAUAAUAUUAUUCACAGACAGGUACACACAGCUUUGUACUGAAUCACAAGUUUGCCAUGUAUCUGUUAACAUUUAGCUUCUUUACCACCAUCGAAACAUCUUGGAAUCUAUUUGCAUGCUAAAGUUAUCCUGCAGUCACAGGCAGAAACGUGUUUGUUUCUUGUAACAAGUUUGUUUAAAAAGACUCAAUUUCAAAGUUUCUAAUUCUGUUUGUCUAACAUCAAUAUGAAAUGCAAAAUCAGUGGCAGACUCAGAGGAUGUUUAAUAAAAGCCUGCAAUUAAAAUGUC